UACGUAGGGGGCAAGCGUUGUCCGGAAUUAUUGGGCGUAAAGAGCGUGUAGGCGGUCCGGUAAGUCGGCUGUGAAAGUCCAGGGCUCAACCCUGGGAUGCCGGUCGAUACUGCCGGACUAGAGUUCGGAAGAGGCGAGUGGAAUUCCCGGUGUAGUGGUGGAAUACGUAGAUAUCCGGAGGAACACCAGCGGCGAAGGCGGCUUUCUGGUCCGAUACUGACGCUGAGGUGCGAAAGCGUGGGGAGCGAUCCGG
rnacentral:rRNA from 1 species